rnacentral:rRNA from 1 species
UACGUAGGGGGCUAGCGUUGUCCGGAAUCAUUGGGCGUAAAGCGCGUGUAGGCGGCCCGGUAAGUCCGCUGUGAAAGUCGGGGGCUCAACCCUCGGAUGCCGGUGGAUACUGUCGGGCUCGAGUACGGAAGAGGCGAGUGGAAUUCCUAGUGUAGCGGUGAAAUGCGCAGAUAUCAGGAGGAACACCAAUUGCGAAGGCAGCUCGCUGGGACGUCACUGACGCUGAGACGCGAAAGCGUGGGGAGCAAACAGG